GCAAGGACCCACAGCAACAUCCGGAUUUACCUUUCCAAGAACUUUCCUAGGCCGGUUUGCCUCAUCUACAGAGCUAUGUGAAAGCGGACCAAAUGCUGGGAUUCCUAAGGCAUCAGCCCUCUGUAACAUAAAUACUCAAAAGUUCGAUACUCCAAACAUUCUGAAUUGUACUUUAACCUUGGACGACAUUGAUGCAUUGAUUUCCGGGGUUUCUGUGGAAGAAAAGAAGUCGUUGGCUUCCAGUACUCAGAUCAUUACAUCCAGACCAGAACGUCUGACACCCCAUAACAUCACAAAAGCAGUGAAUAUAGCCAACAUGCUGCUCUCCUCG